rnacentral:rRNA from 1 species
UACGAAGGGGGCUAGCGUUGCUCGGAAUUACUGGGCGUAAAGGGCGCGUAGGCGGCACUGUUAGUCAGGCGUGAAAGUCCUGGGCUCAACCUGGGAACUGCGCUUGAUACGGCAGAGCUAGAGGAUGGAAGAGGCUCGCGGAAUUCCCAGUGUAGAGGUGAAAUUCGUAGAUAUUGGGAAGAACACCGGUGGCGAAGGCGGCGAUCUGGGUCGAUACUGACGCUGAGGUGCGAAAGCGUGGGGGAGCAAACAGG